rnacentral:rRNA from 1 species
CAAACCUCUAAAAGUAGAAGUAUGCAAAUAUGACUAACUCAUGUACGUCAGGUCAAAGUGCAGCUAAUGAAGAGGUGAUGAUGGGUUACACCCUAAAAAAAGAUACAAACUAUAGUACUAAUAACUAUACAAAGGUGGACUUGGACGUAAUAUUAAUUCAAAAUUAUAAUGAAGACGAAUCUAAGACAUGCACACAUCGCCCGUCACUCUUGCCCAAAGGCAAGAUAAGUCGUAACAAAGUAGGUGUAACGGAAGUUGCACCUGU